UCACAAUAAAGCUAAUUUAGCUGCUUUUGAGGCUGAAUGUUCAACCUGCCAGCAAGACUGAUUGUGAGCACCUCUGAUAUGAGGCCACCUCUAAAGCAGACUAAGAAACCCUUUGUUGGCAAGUUGAUUACACUAAAACCCUCAAUACUUGAAAAGGCAGCAAUCGAUUUUGAUUGGGAUUGACAGACUUUGAAGAUCACCCAUUGACAGGUUUAUAGAAGUCAUGUCAAAAAGAAGUAAUGAGUGACAGUAAAUGGGAAAGAGAAGAAGAAAGUGUCCCUGUUUUUAUUCCCUCUUGCCUCACCUGAAGCCUGGACUAUACUAGCAUGUCAGCUAUAAAAGAAUCAAAGUCAAGUGCUAUGGACUAAAUGGUUUGUCCCCCAUAAAAAUUCACAUGUUCAAAUCUCAAUCCCCAAUGUGAUGGCCUUUGGGAAUGGGGUCUUUGGUAAGUAAUUAGGUCAUGAGGGUGGAGCCCUGAUGAUAGGAUUAGUGCCGUUAUAAGAAAAGACAAGAGGAGCUGGCUUCCUCUCUCUGCUUUCUGCUACGUGAGGAUACAAAGAGAAGGAAGCCAUCUGCAAACCAGGAAGUCAGUUCUCACCAGACGUUAGAUCUGCCUACACCCUGACCUUGGACUUCCAGAUCUCUCCAGAACUAUGUGAAUGAAACUGGGACUCCUCUCUCCCUCGUCAAACAGGCAAAUCUAGCAAGUGAGCUGCAUACGCUUAAAGUCAGUACAAUAAAAAUCCAUGCUCUGCUGUGAGGAAGCCAUGCAGGCCUCAUAAGCCUGUCUCUAUACAAUCUUGCAACCCAUCGUCUCAUGACUGAAGAUGCCAGCAGGAUGAAUCAGCAUCAGGAAGAGAAAAUGGGUACCUUGCUCUCACAUUUCCCAGCUGCGUUUAUUAGAGAUUGAGGGGAAAAGUGACAACCCUGGUCUUGCCUCCCUCCACACAUAGAUAAUACCAACAUUCCAAGCCUUGCUUGAUGUAUAACCAAAAAGCUCUUGUUCAUUUUAUCUUUGAAGUAUAUGAAUAUCACAUGUGUAAGCCCUUAUUGCUUUGUUAAAAAGUAUAUAAACUACACUCAUAUCUGUGGAUCUCGAAGUAGUUCCUCAGAAUACUCUGUUUGACUAUUUCCCAGGACUCAAGUUCCUCACUUUGGUUAUCAAAUAAACUCUUUCAUUUAACCUUU
rnacentral:lncRNA from 1 species